rnacentral:rRNA from 1 species
UACGGGGGGGGUAAGCGUUGUUCGGAAUUACUGGGCGUAAAGGGCGCGUAGGCGGCCUUCUAAGUCGAACGUGAAAUCCCCGGGCUCAACCCGGGAACUGCGUCCGAUACUGGAAGGCUUGAAUCCGGGAGAGGGAUGCGGAAUUCCAGGUGUAGCGGUGAAAUGCGUAGAUAUCUGGAGGAACACCGGUGGCGAAGGCGGCAUCCUGGACCGGUAUUGACGCUGAGGCGCGAAAGCGUGGGGAGCAAACAGG